rnacentral:tRNA from 1 species
GGAGCCGAAUUGGUUUGCUGUCAUCAAGUCACAUUUCAUUUUAACUUCUGUGCACGCACCCUUGAUGAUCAGUGCGGGUUCAAUCCCCGCCGGCUCCA